UUGCAACACAAAUACAAAAUGAUAAUAUAAGAGAGCCUGAUAAUGAUAAUAUAAGAGAAAAGAGCCUGGGGUAUAACUAAUGGCACACAAUACGUGUAUUUGUGUGUGUGUGUGUGUGUGUGUGUGUGUGUCCCCUUUUUGUUAAGGUGUGUUUGUAUAUAUGAUAGUGGCCCCUGUAUAGUGUGUGUGUGUGUGUGUGUGUGUGUCCUUGUUAGGGGUGAGUGUGUGUGUUAUGGGCCCCAAUGUGUGUUAGGGGCAACUGUGUGAGUGUGUGUGUGUGUUAGGGGCCCCUGAGUGUGUGUGUGUGUGUUAGGGGUCCCUGAGUGUGUGUGUGUUAGGGGCCCCUGAGUGUGUUUGUUAGGGGCCCCUGAGUGUGUUUGUUAGGGGCCCCUGAGUGUGUGAUAAACUUCGCCUAGCUCAGUUACGGGUCGCAUUUCCACCGCCGACAGUACCCUUAUGGUAAGGCGGGGUUUAAGCCGGAUGGCGAUAGCCACGGCAGCUACGUAAGCAUCGUGAUCUCAUAUUAGCCCGACAGUGUAUUUUAAGGGCCCCUGAGUGUGUGUGUUAUGGGGACUUGAAUGUUUGUGUGUGUGUAUUAGGAACCCCUGAAUGUGUGUGCAUUUUAGGAGCCCCUGAGUGUUUGUGUUAGGGGCCCCUGAGUGUGUGUGCAUUUUAGGGGCCCCUUAUUGUGUGUGUUAGGGGCCCCUGAAUGUGUGUGUAUUUUAGGAGCCCCUGAUUGUGUGUGUUAGGGGGCAUUGAGUGUGUGUGUGUGUGUGUGUGUGUAUUUUAAGGGCCCCUGAGUGUGUGUGUUAUGGGGACCUGAAUGUUUGUGUGUGUGUGUGUUAGGGGCCACUGCGUGUUCGUGUGUGUGUGUUAGGGGCCCCGGCGUGUGUUGGUUAGGGGCUCCUGAGUGCUCGUAUGGAGGUGACAGUCAGCAGGCCGUGCAGCAGCAGGGCUCCCACGUUAUAGCAGAGCAGCAGCGUCAUCACAGUCCAGAACAACCCCUGCAGGGACAGGAAGUGACAUCAUCAACCCCGACCAGAUCCAGUGUAGUUAAGCUAGGGUUAAAGUUCAUCAUCAACCCCGACCAGAUCCAGUGUAGUUAGGCUAGGGUUAAAGUUCAUCAUCAGCCCCGACCAGAUCCAGUGUAGUUAGGCUAGGGUUAAAGCUCAUCAUCAACCCCGACCAGAUCCAGUGUAGUUUAGCUAGGGUUAAAGUUCUACCUACGGCAUCCGCAAAGAUCCAGCGGAUCGGCAUGCACGUACACUCCCAGGCCACUCUAACGUGUAGACGAGAGGCAUUACAGCAUCCCAAUGUGUACAGGAACCAAAUCCCAAAUAAAAUCGUGUCCCUCAAUGGAGUAUGCUCCAUUGACAGUAUGUCUACAAAGAGGAAGUGAAUUUAACUGCUGAGAAGUGGUUGGUAUUUCGCCACCUCCUUAAAAGACGCUCCCUAAUCUUGUUGCCCGCUCUCCAAAUCAAAACAUUACCGGACGUUACCUGCGCGACUGAUCAGGGAUCAGUUGACACAAACCUCUGCGGAAACGAGCGGAGCGUUGCUAGCCUCUGGGAGUGCCGACAGAGAAAUCUGAUAUCGUUGGACAACCAUUUACUGAAAUGUCUUUACGUCUAUUGUUUUGUAUAUGAGAUGUACUUUCUACUUUAUUGUCCCAGAUGGGAAAUCAGGCAAAUGUAUGGGCACACACAUGCAAGCAAACACACAUGCUCACACACACACACAAACCCAAGCAUGAAUGCACACACACACACACACACACACACACACACACACACACACACACACACACACACACACACACACACACACACACACACACACACACACACACACACGCACGCACGCACACACACACACACACACACACACACACACACACACACACACACACACACACACACACACACACACACACACACACACACACACACACACUGUUCAUAAACUGACCACAAUUCUUCCCUCGAGGCAGUCCACGGUAUGGGCGUAAUAGAAUGGAUCUUCGACACAGUCCGGUUGCUUCACCGAACUCAGAGAGAAGCAGUAAAGACACACAGCCAACACUGCCCCCAGCAGGCAGGCUACGUUACUGUAGGCACAGCUCUGGCGCUAGGGGGAGACGGAAAGAAACACUGGUUGCAGUGUACACUGGACCCGAGGGACUUCCUCCACUAAUAUGUCCAUGAAUACAACAUGUUGAGUAGCUUAAAUGGAAUGUGUGGUUUUAUAUCCCGAUUUAAAAGAUAGAAUAGAGCUCUUGUCUAUUCAUAGAGAGCAGAGCUCUCAUGCUUUCGUAGAGAACAGAGAUAAUAGACCACUCACCCCAACAUUUCUUAACGUUUUUCAGACCGUGAAGCUUGAUCGUGUGUAUUUGUUUUCCCUAAAUUACUUGAAGUUAAUAAACUUUAAGUUAAAGUUUAUUAACUUUAACUUUAAAUUAAAGUUAAUAAACUUUAAGUUAUUUAAAAGUCCUCUGUGCUUCAGAAGGUAUCCUGCUCCUGUCAUAGUGGAUCUGCACAAAUUGAAAUGCGCGGAAGCUAGGCUUGGAAGGUAGGAUUUGGAGACCAAAUCCGUUGUACUUCUGGUGAGACACUAACUGCAUUUCUUUCUCUCUGUAUUUGAUAAUAAUAAUGAUGAUAUAUUUGAAUCUAAUGUAAUCAAAUCUAAUCCAAAAUUGUGUCAUACACCCGGCACAGUCAACUAGGAAAGAUAUUAUCACAGUGCAUACACUCCAACAGUAGCUUUUAAAUCUUAACACCUUCAAUACUCCUUACCACGUAUUUGCUGGAAGAUCGGGCAGAGGCAAUCGUAAGCGAUCCUCCAAUCACAAACUGCAAAACAAAGCGGCCAGGUUACAACCUACCUUUCCACACCUUUAAUACACUACAAUAUUACUAAUAUACUAUGUGUCUGAACUACCAUACUAGUACUAUAUGUGUCUAUAUUAGUACACAACCAUACUAGUACUAUACUAUGUGUCUGAACUGGUACACUACCAUACUAGCACUAUGUGUCUAUAUUAGUACACUAUCAUACUAGUACUAUACUAUGUGUCUAUAUUAGUUCAAUAUCAUACUAGUACUAUACUAUGUGUCUAUAUUAGUACACUAUCAUACUAGUACUAUACUAUGUGUCUA
ensembl:lncRNA